rnacentral:rRNA from 1 species
GAUGAACGCUGGCGGCGUGCCUAAUACAUGCAAGUCGAGCGAACGGACGAGAAGCUUGCUUCUCUGAUGUUAGCGGCGGACGGGUGAGUAACACGUGGAUAACCUACCUAUAAGACUGGGAUAACUUCGGGAAACCGGAGCUAAUACCGGAUAAUAUUUUGAACCGCAUGGUUCAACAGUGAAAGACGGUCUUGCUGUCACUUAUAGAUGGAUCCGCGCUGCAUUAGCUAGUUGGUAAGGUAACGGCUUACCAAGGCAACGAUGCAUAGCCGACCUGAGAGGAUGAUCGGCCACACUGGAACUGAGACACGGUCCAGACUCCUACGGGAGGCAGCAGUAGGGAAUCUUCCGCAAUGGGCGAAAGCCUGACGGAGCAACGCCGCGUGAGUGAUGAAGGUCUUCGGAUCGUAAAGCUCUGUUAUUAGGGAAGAACAUAUGUGUAAGUAACUGUGCACAUCUUGACGGUACCUAAUCAGAAAGCCACGGCUAACUACGUG